rnacentral:rRNA from 1 species
AACACGUGGAUAAUCAACCCUUGGCUCUGGGAUAACCCCGGGAAACUCGGAUCAAUACCGAAUAAAGUGCGGUGCUGCAGGGUGCCGGUACCAAAGAUAGCUUCGGCCUUCGGCGAGAGACGAGUCCGCGGCCCAUUAGCUUGUUGGCGGGGUAACGGCCCACCAAGGCUACGAUGGGUAGCUGGUCUGAGAGGAUGAUCAGCCACACUGGGACUGAGACACGGCCCAGACUCCUACGGGAGGCAGCAGUGGGGAAUCUUGCGCAAUGGGCGAAAGCCUGACGCAGCAACGCCGCGUGCGGGAGGAAGGCCUUCGGGUUGUAAACCGCUUUCAGGGGAGACGAAGCUUCCUGGGUUAAUAGCCCUGUGGAGUGACGGUAUCUUCAGAAGAAG